rnacentral:SRP_RNA from 1 species
GCUGGGCAUGGUGGCGCGUGCCUGUAAUCCCAGCUACUCGGGAGGCUGAGGCAGGAGAAUUGCCUGAACCCAGGAGGCGGAGGUUGCGGUGAGCCGAGAUCGCGCCAUUGCACUCCAGUCUGGGUAACAACAGCGAAACUCCGUCUCAAAACAAAACAAAACCCUAACCCUAACCCUCAAUGUGAAUAUAUCUGGAGACAGGGCCUUUAUUUUUUGAGACGGAGUUUCGCUGUUGUUGCCCAGGCUGGAUGGAGUGCAAUGGCGCGAUCUCGGCUCACCGAAACCUCCGCCUCCUGAGUUCAGGCAAUUCUCCUGCCUCAG